GGGUCCGUAGCUCAAUCGGUUCGAGCAUGCACCUUGAUAAGCGCAGGGUCAUUGGUUCGAGUCCAGUCAGACCCA
rnacentral:tRNA from 1 species